rnacentral:rRNA from 1 species
AGAGCGAACGCUGGCGGCAGGCCUAAUACAUGCAAGUCGAACGGAUCCUUCGGGAUUAGUGGCGGACGGGUGAGUAACACGUGGGAACGUACCCUUUGGUUCGGAACAACUCAGGGAAACUUGAGCUAAUACAGAAUGUGCCCUUCGGGGAAAAGAUUUAUCGCCAUUGGAGCGGCCCGCGUCUGAUUAGCUAGUUGGUAGGGUAAAGGCCUACCAAGGCUACGAUCAGUAGCUGGUCUGAGAGGAUGAUCAGCCACACUGGGACUGAGACACGGCCCAGACUCCUACGGGAGGCAGCAGUAGGGAAUCUUGCGCAAUGGGCGAAAGCCUGACGCAGCCAUGCCGCGUGAAUGAUGAAGGUCUUAGGAUUGUAAAAUUCUUUCAGCGGGGACGAUAAUGACGGUACCGCAGAAGAAGCCCCGGCUAACUUCGCGCCAGCAGCCGC